rnacentral:rRNA from 1 species
GACGAGCUCGACGCCGGCCUCAAAGCUCGCCGCCACUCCAUUCUCGCUUUCGGGGGGCAGCCGCGGUUCCCAAAAAAAAAAAUCCAUCACCACCGUCGAGCAACGCCGCCGUGAAUGGAAGUAGCAAAAAUUGACUUCGGCUCCAGCAAAAUCAAACAUGGUUGUAGCAAAAAAAUCGACCGAAAAAACAGGGAUGUAGCAUCUCGUGAGAAUGAAUGUAGCAAUCAUCAACACCUGUGGUAACAAAAAACUGACAAAAAGGUUGCAUCCAAAGACACAGUCGCGGGUCUUGCAUGUUCAUGGAGAUGGGAUGUAGCAAAAAUUCGACAAACACCGGCAGUAACAAAAAAACAACAUAGUUGUAGCAAAAUCGUUAGCCGGUUCCAGCAAGAAUACGGUGGGAGCAGAUUUCGGGCGGGGUGGGUGGUAGCAAAAACAUAAGCCGGUUCCAGCAAAAUUUAUCUUCGGUUCCAACAAAAUCAUAACAUGGUUGUAGCAAAAAAUCGACUGGAAAUACAGCGAUGUCAUGAAGAUGGAUGUAGCACAAAUGCACAAAACACCGGUGGUAACAAAAACCAAAACGGUUGUAGCAAAAUGGUUCGCCGGUUCCAGCAAAAACUAACGUGGUAGCAGAUUUUGGAUGGGUGGGUGGUAGCAAAUACAUGGGCUGGUUCCAGCAAAAAAAAGCAUGGUUGUAGCAAAUCCUGCUGCGGCGGCCAUGGACCGGAGCGCAACCAGCUGCGGUCGGCCAUGGCGACGAGCGCUGGUUGCCGCAUGGUCGCGCGGAUGGAUGAGCGGUUGCUCACCGGAGCAGCGCGAGGCGAGUGGAUAGUGGCCGCUCGCCGAAGCAGCGCGAGGUGGGUGUAUAAUGGCCGCUCGCCGGAGCAGCACGGGCAGGUGGUAGUGAGGCUCGCCGGAGCAAGGAUGCGGCGGCCCGAGCGAGAGGCAGAGGCGAGGUAGGCGAGACGUGAGC